rnacentral:tRNA from 1 species
GGGGAUGUAGCUCAAAUGGUAGAGCGCCCGCUUUGCAUGCGGGAGGUACAGGGUUCGAUUCCCUGCAUCUCCA